rnacentral:rRNA from 1 species
AUUGAACGCUGGCGGCAGGCCUCACACAUGCAAGUCGAGCGGAGCGGCGGACGGGUGAGUAAUGCCUAUGAAUCUGCCUGUUCGUGGGGGAUAACGUCCGGAAACGGGCGCUAAUACCGCAUACUAUCAGAUGAGCCUAGGUCGGAUUAGCGAGUUGGUGGGGUAAAGGGCUACCAAGGCGACGAUCCGGAACUGGGCUGAGAGGAUGAUCAGUAACACUGGAACUGAGAAACGGUACAGACGCCUACGGGAGGCAGCAGUGGGGAAUAUGGGACAAUGGGCGAAAGCCUGAUGCAGCCAUGCCGCGUGUGGGAAGAAGGUCUUCGGAUUGUAAAGCACUUUAAGUUGGGAGGCGUUACCAACAGAAGAAGCACCGGCUAACUUCGUGCCAGCAGCCGCGGUAAUUC